AAGUGGAGGUGCCGGGGAUUGAACCCGGGGCCUCGUGCAUGCUAAGCACGCGCUCUACCACUGAGCUACACCCCCUCGCACACAGAGAGGCCCGGAAAUGUGCCUAUGAAUGUUCGCUGCGGGUUUCGGUGGCGGCUCACAACCCUUCGCGGCGCCGAGGCGGGUGCACGGGCCCAGUACCAGACUGCCCCGAAGACGCGCUGGGAGAAGGAGAACCCGGGCCGCACGGCGGUCCCGUGUGGGACCUCACUGCGCGCCCAGGCGGAGGUCUGGGAGGAGCCGUGUGUCCGGAGAGGCGGCCGAGGGCCGAGGGGGAGGAGCAAUGAGGGGACCAGGACCCCCCAGGACCCGAGGGGCCCGGAGAUGCGCCGGGGACGCGGGCAGAGCGGGCGGAGCGCAGCGCCCUGUCGGGCCGAGCCGCACCAACUGCGAGGAGCGCGGGGCCGGCGCGUCCAGGGGGCUCGGUCUGCAAACCCGGCUCCCUGAAUCGGCCCUUGGACCGGCGGUGUGCACGCUUCCGCCGUGUGGGUCCUCGUGCGCCGACCCGCGGGUGGAUUAUUUCCCGCUGGGGACACUCGAGGCGCUGCCGACUCUGGGGGCUCUUGACCUUCCCGGUCACGAGCUGCACGAAGGGUUUGGACGGGGGCCCCUACCGCGAAGAGCGCUGCCACUCUUGAAAAGCGAGGAUGAGCCAUGAUCUCGAAGCAGCAAGAGUUGGAGGUCUUGGCUGACAGGCUCCUGGGAGCUUCUGGUACCUCAGCCCUAACUCACCAAGGACUUCCCUCUCUUCCCAUGCUGCGUGGGAGAGUGGGAAGGGCAGUUCAUUGUGAAAAAGCUUCAAGGACUUCCCAAUGUGAACAACAAUUCAACAAAUAAGUAUGCUUGGCCUUGCUAACAAUCAGUUGUGAGGCUGAAAACAUCCUUUUCCAAAUUAUGUCUUACAAAAUAAUCCAACCAUGUUAGAGGAAAGGCUGAGUUAUCUACUUCCACCUAUAGAAAAUAAUAUGACACAAUUGUUGUUAUAUGAAAGGUAAUAAAAAUAAUGCAGCGAAGCCGUGUAGGAGAAACAUAUUAUAGAGGUAUAUCAAUAAGCUAUCUCUGUGAUUGUGGAAUCCAUCAGUUUUUUAAAGUUUGUAAUCUGUUUCUGUUUAUGUUCUUAUUCUAAAUAAAUAUUUACUUUCACCGUU